GGUGGCACAGUGAGGAACUAAUUUUGCUAAUGUAUCUAUGAGGUCAAAAGGCCAGUGAAUCAAAUGUCCUUUUCAUUCUGAGUGCCAA
rnacentral:snoRNA from 7 species